CCCGGAACUAAAGCUGACCCAGGCCAAGGAGCCUCCCGAGGUUCCAGGGCUGCUAAGCACGUUCUACCACCUUCCGCCAGGAUGAUGUCCACCCUUCUGGAAGAGGCGGGUGUGAGAACCGUCUUCACUGACACCAAGAAGCGAGCCAAAGAGGGGUGUGUCUUCGGGAGACCCGGAAUGAAGAGAGCAGGCAGAGAGUUCAAACACCGUCGGUGCAGUUGAGCAGAAGAGAGACUAAGGAAGAACGAAAAGAGGAGAAGGGCUCAGAUGAGACUUACAUUAAAAGAAGAAAUGGAUGAGCUGGCUUCACCACUUU